rnacentral:rRNA from 1 species
CAGUCGCCGCGGUAAUACCAGCAGCCCAAGUGGUGGUCGCGCUUAUUGGGCCUAAAGCGCUCGUAGCCUGGCCGGUAAGUUCCCCGUGAAAUCGGGUCGCCCAACGAUUCAGCUUGCGGGGAAUACUGUCGGUCUUGGGGCCGGGAGACGCCGAGGGUACUCCGGGGGUAGCGGUGAAAUGCUGUAAUCCUCGGGGGACUACCAGUGGCGAAGGCGCUCGGCGAUAACGGGCCUGACGGUGAGGGGCGAAAGCUGGGGGCGCGAACGGGAUUAGAGACCCGCGUAGUCCCUGUCUCUUAAC